GAUGAACGCUGGCGGCGUGCCUAAUACAUGCAAGUCGAGCGAACAGAUGAGGAGCUUGCUCCUCUGACGUUAGCGGCGGACGGGUGAGUAACACGUGGAUAACCUACCUAUAAGACUGGGAUAACUUCGGGAAACCGGAGCUAAUACCGGAUAAUCUAUUGAACCGCAUGGUUCAAUAGUGAAAGACGGUUUUGCUGUCACUUAUAGCUGGAUCCGCGCCGCAUUAGCUAGUUGGUAAGGUAACGGCUUACCAAGGCAACGAUGCGUAGCCGACCUGAGAGGGUGAUCGGCCACACUGGAACUGAGACACGGUCCAGACUCCUACGGGAGGCAGCAGUAGGGAAUCUUCCGCAAUGGGCGAAAGCCUGACGGAGCAACGCCGCGUGAGUGAUGAAGGUCUUCGGAUCGUAAAACUCUGUUAUUAGGGAAGAACAAAUGUGUAAGUAACUAUGCACGUCUUGACGGUACCUAAUCAGAAAGCCACGGCUAACUACGUG
rnacentral:rRNA from 1 species